rnacentral:lncRNA from 1 species
CUCCUUACCCCAGCUGCCUGGCUGCCCUCAGCUUCCCAAAGCUCAAAUAAGAGGGGCCGGCGGCGCGGGGAAGAGGAGGAGCCAGGAGGCUCGGCCGCUCCAUUCACUCAGCAGCCCAAGCCCGGCCAGGCAGCGCGCGCUGCUCCUUGGGGGCGCCCUCGCAGCUGGGGUGAGGGCGGGUCCGAGGGAGCGUCCCUCUCGGAGACACCCUCCUCUUCAACCCAACACGCGCUCUCAGCUGGCCGGUGUGGCACAACCCUCCCCCCACCUCCCCUUCUUGGCCUUCGCCAGUGUGGGAGCCUCGUCUCACUGGAGAGUCCGUUCAGGCAAGGAGAAGAACCGGGGGCCGGAGCGGAGCGUGUUUCAGAGGUGCGUAUAAAAUCCCAGGGGCGCCAGGAGGCAGCAGCGACGGCGCAGCGUGGGACGGCCAGGCGCGACGGGAGGGAAGCAACCGGUUGCAGUCCGGCCUCCUGUACCUGGCUGGCCCGGGCUGGGGCUGCAAGCUUUCCAGCCAAACUUAUGUGAAGCAAAGUAGUUGCAGUUUGACAAAGAAUGGCGUUUCAAUAAAUGACAUAGUAAUUUUUUACGCUUUGGUUUUUAGCUUGCAUUGCAUAAACGUUGUCGCCAUUAAAUUCUGGCUGCGGACCCGAAGUGUGUGCGGGCCCAGGACUUACUCGAAGGGCGCACUUCUUGGGAAUGCGCAUCCCGUAGGCGCAGGAGACCCUGAGGGUAAAGAUGCGGCACUUGAGCCCUCCGCUUGCCUCCCAGGCCACCUUUGCUGCUUGACUUUGCGUCGUCUCCACUCAGAAGCUUUUAAAAUUAUUAUUAAGAAAAGAAAGAUUCUACAAGACACUGCCCCCACGCUCUCUGCUCAGUCCUCUCCCACACGAUCUAUCCCUAAACCUUUCGCGGGGCUCGCGCGUUUGGUUUUUUGAGUGGAGAAAGGACUCUCGAGACAAAAUUCACUGCCAGUUGCCCUAAGAACCCCCCAGAUCCCUGUAUCUCCCUUCCUUCUCCCCGCCUAUUAUUUCUACUUGGAAGUCGUUUUUCUUAACUAGGACUCAACUGUGAGGGGCGAGGAGCCCUUUAUGAAAAGCCGGGGACUUUCAUUUCCAAACGAAAAGAUUGAGAUUGUUUCUUCUUUUACCAUCCUUGGCACUUUUAGCGGGGGGAGAGGAGGUUAUCUGAAGGGAGGCUGGCUUGAAUGUGAGUCGUUGUGUUUGUGAAACCCAGAAUCCUUGUGGGGGCGGGGAGGGGAAGAGCACCGGUGCGAACCCCGGGGUGCCCCCUCGCCCGACUUGGACUUCUCCGACUAAAGAGGUGGGAGGAGUUCCCUGCAGCCUGCGGGGCCAAGAAGAAAGUGCUAAGCUGAGGAGCCGCAGUCGGAGGACCCCAGGGACCCGACAGGAAGUCUCCGUACGACCCCAACGGAUCCACAUGCCCGGAAGCCCAGGCGACACUAAGCCAGCGCUGGGGAACUGACGUACUCCUGCAGUCGCAGGGCGCUCCAUGCCUCUCUGUCCUCUUCUUUGUUGUGGGUAACGUUCUCUGCGGGAGACCUGAGGUUUUCCAAGGGGGACAUGCCAGCUACACUGGCCUUGGCGCCCUGAGCUAAGCACCAGGACUCACAGCCUAGCACGAAGAUUGUCCUUCUCUUGACUCAUGGAAUGCUUUGUGAGAAAGAACUACAAAGCCGGGUCCCUCGAUAUUAGCCAUCUCACCCUUCAAAGUUCAGCCAGGAGUGGGACAAAACCCUCGUCACCAUGUUGACAUGUUUACUUCUGGCGCAGGAAAAUACUGCUGUUGCCCAAUUUGGUUUCCCAGUCCAUUCACUUGCCUGGAGACAUAUAUUUUAUGCUUUCCUUUGAUGAUUUACAAAUAAAUUAACGUGAUUCACUAAGGUCUGCCAGCAUAUAUGCGUUACUGGAGAAAUCUGAGAUGUUGAAAAAGUAUUUUAAUUUAUUGUAUCCCAAUACUUUCUUAAGAAAGUUUCUUAAGAACCAAAUAAAUAUCAUCAGCUAGUUUAUAUACCUGACAUAUUUAUUACGGUAUUCCCGCUGAGCACUUCCCAUUGUCAUGUGUUCUCACACAUUGUUUUCACAAAUUGUGUUUUGAAAGAAGUCAAGGGAAAUUCAGGCCAGAGAAGCAAGAUGUUAUCUUUUGGAAAGGAUGAGCCCACUCUAAUGGAAGAGGAUAAUCCAUUCAGAGGUUUGUGAGGCCAAUAUCCCCCAGUGGGUGUGAUAAAUCCACAGCGUCUGAAUCCAGAAUUUUGCACUGGGACCUUGAAGUUGCAUGAACAAUUUAGUCAUGUUCCAAAUAAACACAGUGUAUCAUUAUUAUUAUUGGAUAAACAUGAACAUCUGUUAGGUCAAGUUUGCCCUAUUUCCUUAAAGGCAACUGGAGUCCCUGAACACAGUUCUCAUAUGUCUAUCACAAAUGGAUCUGAGAUGGGUGUAUAAUGCCAAAGCGGCUCCUUGACCAUCUCUGUGUUUGGAAACCAGAUUUUAAAAAGAAAAAAAAAAGUCACCUGCUCAUCUGAGGUGGGUCACAUGCCUAGAGAGCACCAUAGAGACUGCAGUUCCCUUCUGAAUCCCAUCAACAGAGCUACUGUCAAAAGAUGAAAAUAUUUGAAUCAGCUGGCCUUCUUCAUUUUUAAAGCAAUGUUGUACAUAUUUUAAGCAAUUAUUUGGGGCGAGAGGACUCUAAUUGACACCAUUCUCUUGUCCUAACUCAGCCUGGCACCUUUCCAGCUGUCACUCAGUGGGCACAGGAUAUGGAGGAUGAUUUCUCACCAGGCUGAAUCAGCAGGUUGCAGCAGGUUACAACUGCAAGGGACUUUACAAAGCUUCUAAUCCUACCCCUCAUUUUUCAGAUAAGACAUUAUUGAUACGAUCUGCCCAAGAUCAUGCACUUAGUUAGUGGCAGAGCUUUACCCAAGGCCAGGAAAUAAAAUCUGUCUUUCUGGAACAGCAUUCAUUGGUUUGCACUUACCGAGUACCUUUUACAG